GACAGAGGGUGCAAACGUUUGUUCGGAAUUACUGGGCGUAAAGCGCGUGUAGGCGGCUUGGCAAGUCGGGUGUGAAAGCCCUGGGCUCAACCUAGGAAGUGCACACGAAACUGCCGAGCUGGAGUCCUGGAGAGGAAGGCGGAAUUCUCGGUGUAGAGGUGAAAUUCGUAGAUAUCGAGAGGAACACCGGUGGCGAAGGCGGCCUUCUGGACAGUGACUGACGCUGAGACGCGAAAGCGUGGGGAGCAAACAGGG
rnacentral:rRNA from 1 species